GUGGGGAAUAUUGGACAAUGGGCGAAAGCCUGAUCCAGCCAUGCCGCGUGUGUGAAGAAGGUCUUCGGAUUGUAAAGCACUUUAAGUUGGGAGGAAGGGCAGUAAGUUAAUACCUUGCUGUUUUGACGUUACCGACAGAAUAAGCACCGGCUAACUUCGUGCCAGCAGCCGCGGUAAUACGAAGGGUGCAAGCGUUAAUCGGAAUUACUGGGCGUAAAGCGCGCGUAGGUGGUUUUGUAAGUUGGAGGUGAAAUCCCCGGGCUCAACCUGGGAACUGCCUCCAAAACUGCAUGACUAGAGUACGGUAGAGGGUAGUGGAAUUUCCUGUGUAGCGGUGAAAUGCGUAGAUAUAGGAAGGAACACCAGUGGCGAAGGCGACUACCUGGACUGAUACUGACACUGAGGUGCGAAAGCGUGGGGAGCAAACAGGAUUAGGAACCCCAGUAGUCC
rnacentral:rRNA from 1 species